UAUUGAUAGAGCAUUGUUCACAUAUUACUGAGAUGUGUUUUGUAUUACAUACUAUUUAAAUAAUUCUUAUCUAUAUUCAUCUAAAUCCAGCUAAAGUUUCCUCUUCAGAAUGUUGGUGGAGGACACUGAGAUUUUUCCUGCUUUCUAUUGAUAACAUCAAGGCUAACAGUUGAUAGCCCUAUAAAUAGACUUUGCUGCAUCCUCCCCCC